GAGACUCUGUGCGCGUGCAUAUCAAUAAGCGGAGGAAAAGAAACUAACAAGGAUUCCCCUUAGUAACGGCGAGUGAAGCGGGAAGAGCUCAAAUUUGAAAUCUUCAAGGGUUCUACCUUUACGAAUUGUAGUUUAUAGAAGUGUUUUCUGUUAGUAGAGUGGCAAAAGUUCUUUGGAAUAGGACAUCAUAGAGGGUGAGAAUCCCGUAUUUGACCGUUACUUUCCAGCUGUGUGAUACACUUUCAAAGAGUCGGAUUGUUUGGGAAUGCAGUCCAAAAUGGGUGGUAAAUUUCAUCUAAAGCUAAAUAUUGGCGAGAGACCGAUAGCGAGCAAGUACCGUGAGGGAAAGAUGAAAAGAACUUUGAAAAGAGAGUUAAACAGUACGUGAAAUUGUCAAAAGGGAAGCGUUUGACACCAGUGUUGUUUAGUUGAAAAUCAAUUCAAUAAUUUUUGAUUUUAAGUAGUAUUGACUUCAUCAGCUUGCUGCUUUCUUUUCAGGAAUUAUUGAAUGCACUUUUCAGUUAACAAGUCAACAUCAAUUUCUAUUGUUGUAAAAGGGUAAGAGGAAGGUGGCUUACGCUUCGGCGUAAGUGUUUAUAGCCUUUUACCUCUGCAAUCGGAGAGAUUGAGGACAGCUAGCGUAGACUCCUUCGGGGUUAGAUACACUUGUGCUAAGCUAUAGCCUUGUAUAGACAACUUGUUGGACUUAUGCUCAGUCAUGUAGCUUACUCGCUAGAUGCUAUUUUACCUACGCUUAGGAUGUUGAGUCGUAGAGCACGCAG
rnacentral:rRNA from 1 species